AACGAACGCUGGCGGCAGGCUUAACACAUGCAAGUCGAGCGCCCCGCAAGGGGAGCGGCAGACGGGUGAGCAACGCGUGGGAAUCUACCUAUCACUACGGAACAACUCCGGGAAACUGGAGCUAAUACCGUAUACGUCCGAGAGGAGAAAGAUUUAUCGGUGAUAGAUGAGCCCGCGUUGGAUUAGCUAGUUGGUGGGGUAAUGGCCUACCAAGGCGACGAUCCAUAGCUGGUCUGAGAGGAUGAUCAGCCACACUGGGGACUGAGACACGGCCCAGACUCCUACGGGAGGCAGCAGUGGGGAAUAUUGGACAAUGGGCGAAAGCCUGAUCCAGCCAUGCCGCGUGAGUGAUGAAGGCCUUAGGGUGUAAAGCUCUUUCACCGGUGAAGAUAAUGACGGUAACCGGAGAAGAAGCCCCGGCUAACUUCGUGCCAGC
rnacentral:rRNA from 1 species